GGAAGAAUGACUGAAUUUGUGUCAGUGUGUGAAUAGCAGUAAUAUAUUUCUGCCAGUAACAGCAGAGUAAUGUUCAGCAGCACAGCAGAACAGAACACUCCACACAGAAGAUGUAAGCAAAUAUGUAAGCACUAAAAAAUGGCUUAAUGUCAUGUUUGGGAGCAAAUGUUUCACUGACAAUAUCAGAAUCAAAAAAGGAAGUAAGAAGAUACAUGGGUGCCAAUAUAACUGACACUGAUAGGAAACCUAUCUCUCUUUGAGACCUUGUCUUUGUCUUCUCUGUUACUCAAAACCAGGCUUUGUUAUUCAAGAUCAGGACAAUGCUGCUGCUACAAAAGCAGCAUUCUCUUAAAUCUCAAGCACUGGAAAUAUCUUUCUGACUUACUAUGCCCUGAUCAUCAGUGAUACAGUCUGUAAUUGUUUCUCUCUGUUAGGUGGCACAGGCAGCAAGGAGACACGCAGAUGGAGUGUCAGGGUGACCCAGCCCUGGACACCAGCCUCCAUAUGAGGAGCUUUUGCUCCACAGGAACAAAGACAGCACCAACAGGAGAACUGAGAGGGCCUGAGGGAUGCUGCAUUUUCGUAAAUGAAGCAUCCACAGAGAUUGGUGGAUAUUUAUGCACCUGCAAAGGUGGGUCAGGGUCCCGGAUCCAGCCAACUACCAGCAAAAGCAGCAAAGCCUCACAUUUCCACUGGCCUGGCAGCAAGAUUCAGGAAUGUUUGCUUACAUAGACUGCUAUUAGCUGUUGUUCAUAGAGGAUCACUCAUCAUUCAGAGAAACAUUUGCAAGUUGCAGCACUUUCCAAACACAGAAAUGGAUCCCCAGUGCUGGGAUACACCACUCUUCAUGGUCCUCCCACUGCACUACACUGAAGACACUUCUCUGAGAUAAAGCCUUGUAUUUUGCUACCACAGGUAACUGGUCUGUAAAGUCCCCAUUGAGACAUCACCUCUACAAGUUGACUAUGUGUUGUUUUGUUCUUUUAUUCCACUUCAUCUGUUUCCUACUCUAGGUUAAACAGGAGAGGUGACAGCAUUCCCUACCAUGUUCUACAAAACCUCUAAAAUGCCAAAGCAGGUGGGAUGGAAGGAGUUUUCUUUGUCACAAAUUUUUGUGUCACAAGAGGGAACAAAGAACAGUUAACUGAAAGUGUUGAUUAGUGUGUAUCAUAUACUGCAUAAUUUGCUGCACCUGGAGUGAUUCAG
rnacentral:lncRNA from 1 species